AGAGUUUGAUCUGGGGUCAGGUAGGAGAGCGGCGGGCAUUCCUAAACAUGCAAGUAGGAGGAGCUGAGGGAAUACUUGCAUUCCGGACGGGAGUGGCGAACGGGUGAAGUUAAACACGGUGGGAAACCUACCGUAAGGUAGGGGGUAACAUUCGGAAACGGAUGCUAAUACCCUAUUGGUUUCAGUUCCGCAUGGAACUGGAAGGAAAGACGGCUUUGCUGUCGCUUACAGAUGGUCCCGCGGCGCAUUAGCUAGUUGGUGGAUAAAAGCUCACCAAGGCUGUGAUGCGUAGCCGACCUGAGAGGGUAACCGGCCACACUGGGACUGAGACACGGCCCAGACUCCUACGGGAGGCAGCAGUAGGGAAUCUUCCGCAAUGGACGAAAGUCUGACGGAGCAAUGCCGCGUGAAUGAAGAAGGUCUUCGGAUCGUAAAAUUCUGUUGUUAGAGAAGAACAAGGAGUAAGUAACUACUACUCCCUUGACGGUAUCUAACCAGAAAGCCACGGCUAACUACGUGCCAGCAGCCGCGGUAAUACGUAGGUGGCAAGCGUUGUCCGGAUUUAUUGGGCGUAAAGGGAGCGCAGGCGGUGACUUAAGUCUGAUGUGAAAGCCCACGGCUCAACCGUGGAAGGUCAUUGGAAACUGGGUCACUUGAAUAUAGAAGAGGAAAGUGGAAUUCCAUGUGUAGCGGUGAAAUGCGUAGAUAUAUGGAGGAACACCAGUGGCGAAGGCGACUUUCUGGUCUAUUAUUGACGCUGAGGCUCGAAAGCAUGGGUAGCAAACAGGAUUAGAUACCCUGGUAGUCCAUGCCGUAAACGAUGAGUGCUAGGUGUUGGGGGGCUUCCACCCCUCGGUGCCGGCGUUAACGCAUUAAGCACUCCGCCUGGGGAGUACGGCCGCAAGGCUUAAACUCAAAGGAAUUGACGGGGACCCGCACAAGCGGUGGAGCAUGUGGUUUAAUUCGAAGCAACGCGAAGAACCUUACCAGCUCUUGACAUCUUCUGCCAACUCUAGAGAUAGAGUGUUCCCUUCGGGGACAGAAUGACAGGUGGUGCAUGGUUGUCGUCAGCUCGUGUCGUGAGAUGUUGGGUUAAGUCCCGUAACGAGCGCAACCCUUGUUGUCAGUUGCCAGCAUUUAGUUGGGCACUCUGGCGAGACUGCCGGUGACAAACCGGAGGAAGGUGGGGAUGACGUCAAAUCAGCAUGCCCCUUAUGAGCUGGGCUACACACGUGCUACAAUGGAUGGUACAGCGAGUCGCUAAACCGCGAGGUCAAGCUAAUCUCCUAAAGCCAUUCUCAGUCCGGAUUGCAGGCUGCAACUCGCCUGCAUGAAGCCGGAAUCGCUAGUAAUCGUGGAUCAGAAUGCCACGGUGAAUACGUUCCCGGGUCUUGCACUCACCGCCCGUCA
rnacentral:rRNA from 1 species